CAGCCGCCGCGGGAAUACGAAGGGUGCAAGCGUUAAUCGGAAUUACUGGGCGUAAAGCGUGCGUAGGCGGUGAGUUAAGUCUGCUGUGAAAUCCCCGGGCUCAACCUGGGAAUGGCAGUGGAUACUGGCAAGCUAGAGUGUGUCAGAGGAUGGUGGAAUUCCCGGUGUAGCGGUGAGAUGCGUAGAGAUCGGGAGGAACAUCAGUGGCGAAGGCGGCCAUCUGGGACAACACUGACGCUGAGGCACGAAAGCGUGGGGAGCAAACAGGAUUAGAUACCCCAGUAGUCCCUGUCUCUUAUAC
rnacentral:rRNA from 1 species